rnacentral:rRNA from 1 species
GUAGGGAGCAAGCGUUGUCCGGAAUUACUGGGUGUAAAGGGAGUGUAGGCGGGAUGGCAAGUCAGAUGUGAAAUUCAUGGGCUCAACCCAUGAACUGCUUUCAAAACUGUUUUUCUUGAGUAGUGCAGAGGUAGGCGGAAUUCCCGGUGUAGCGGUGGAAUGCGUAGAUAUCGGGAGGAACACCAGUGGCGAAGGCGGCCUACUGGGCACCAACUGACGCUGAGGCUCGAAAGUGUGGGUAGCAAACAGGAUUAGAUACCCUGGUAGUCCACACUGUAAACGAUGAUUACUAGGUGUUGGAGGAUUGACCCCUUCAGUGCCGCAGUUAACACAAUAAGUAAUCCACCUGGGGAGU